UCUGGUUUUGCUUUUCUACUGCAUGUCUGGGGGGGGGGAGGGGCCAGCCUGUCCAGACCCCUAUCCGUUUGCGAACCUGCCAUAUGGAGAGGGUAUCUGAGGGGCUCAGAAAGAAAUUAGCGCAGCUCUGUAUCUGUAGACUGCAUAACUUUUAAGCUCCCGGGACUGAAAUAAUAAUAUGGGCACACACGCAUAGGUACAGGAAAUACAGCCAGUCCACGGCCUUUUCAGACUGCAGCUGACCGGAAGACAGCCUUUCAUUCAUUCAUUUGGACAACCUCGGUUGAAGAGCCCUGAAAUCAGAAGUUGGGUGAGAAAAGAAAAAAAAGUCUCUACACUCGCUGAGAAGAGAUAAAUCGAUAUACAGGAGGGAAACAGAAUCCGAGUCAGCGUUUCUAAUGCAAGUCAGAAGCAGGCGAAAGGUGAUGAGAUCCACUGGGCAGAAGCUGAGUCACAGGCCAGUGAGGACAGAGCACCAGCUUCUCUGCACAUCGGAAGCCGUCAGACAGGCUCCCUGCAUCCUCCUCCGGAACCCCAGUCUAAGGAUGCCAAUGUGACAAAGAAAAAAUUAUUCUCCUUCCCUUAAACAGAAGCUGGCACAUUGUAGGUUCUUGGUAAAUAUUUGUUGAAAAAUGAAGCCGGGCGUUGGUGGCGCACGCCUUUAAUCCCAGCACUUGGGAGGCAGAGGCAGGUGGAUCUCUGUGAGUUCGAGGCCAGCCUGGUCUACAAAGCAAGUUCCAGGACAGCCUCCAAAACAAUACAGAAAAACCCUGUCUCGAAAAAACCAAAAAAGAAAAAGAAAAAAAAAAAAGAAAUCCUGCCUUGGAAAAAGGAAACAGAAAAUAUAAUAGCUGAUAAAUGCCCAAUGCCUAAAUGUUAGACAUGUGAUGGCGUGCUUCUGUGAUCCCAACACCCAGCUGAGGCUGGUAGUCGGCCACAAGUUAUGGCCCUGCAUGCUCAACAUCAAGUUCAGUGCUGAAGGGAUGGCUCAGUGUUAAGAGCAUCGUCUCCUCUUCCAGAGGAGCAGGGUUCAGUUCCCAACACCCAUCUGGCACAGCUACAACUGUAACUCCAGGGAACUGAUGUCCUCUUCUGAUCUGCAGACACCAGGCACACGCUGGUGUUCAGAAUUCAUGUAGGCUAAUAAAUAUCUGUACAUUUAAGAAAGCAGGUGGGUGGUGGUGGUGAACACUUUUGAUCCCAGCACUCGGGGCAGAGGCAGGUAGAUUUCUGAGUUGGAGGCCAUCCUGGUCUACAGUGUGAAUUCUGGGACAGCCAGAGCUACCCAAAGAAACCCUUGUCUCAAA